UGGACUCGUUGCAUAGCUUGGAUAGUGCGAUUGCUUGCGGAGCAAUAGGUCGUCGGUUCGAAUCCGAUCGGGUCCGU
rnacentral:tRNA from 1 species